AUGCAAGUCGAACGGACUAUCUUUUGAACGAGAUGCGAUUACAUCAAGUCGAGGGAUUUUGAUAGUUAGUGGCAAACGAGAUUAGUAACACCUUGGUAUCUACCCUUUUGUCGGGCACAACGAGUCGAAAGAUUCGCUAAUUCCCGAUGGCCUCGUAAGAGUAAAGUCGCAAGACGCAAAAGGAGGAGCCUAGGUCCCAUCAGCUAGUUGGUGAGGUAACAGCUCACCAAGGCUAUGACGGGUAGGGGGCGUGAGAGCGUGUACCCCAACGACGGUACUGAGACACGGACCGUACACCUACGGGUGGCAGCAGUCGAGAAUAUUCCGCAAUGGACGAAAGUCUGACGGAGCAACGCCGCGUGCAGGAAGAAGGCCUUCGGGUCGUAAACUGCUUUUGCGUGGGAAGAAUACUGACGGUACCACGAGAAUAAGGGGCUGCUAACUUCGUGCCAGCAGCAGCGGUAAUACGAAGGCCCCGAGCGUUAUCCGGAAUUACUGGGCGUAAAGAGCGAGCAGGUGGCGAUUAUAGUCUGAUGUUAAAUCUCAUCGCUUAACGGUGAGGCCGCAUGAGAAACGUAAUCGCUUGAGCGGGUUAGAGGCAAGCAGAACGUGUGGUGUAGGGGUGAAAUCCGUUGAUAUCACACGGAAUACCAAAAGCGAAGGCAGCUUGCUAGGACUUUGCUGACACUCAGUCGCGAAAGCGUGGGGAUCAAAAAGGAUUAGAUACCCUUGUAGUCCACGCCCUAAACGAUCCAAACUGGCUAUCGGGAGCAUCGACCCUCUCGGUGGCGAAGCUAACGCGUUAAGUUUGGCGCCUGGGAAGUACGAUCGCAAGAUUAAAACUCAAAGAAAUAGGCGGGGACUCGCACAAGCGGUGGAUCAUGCGGUUCAAUUCGACACAGAGCGAAAAACCUCACCAGGGCUUGAAAUCCAGCUGCAUAUUUUGGAAACAAAAUAGCCUUCGAGGGUGCUGGACAGGUGCUGCACGGCUGUCGUCAGCUCGUCAUGUGAAUGGUUCCCUUAAGUGGGGAAACGAGCGCAACCCCCGUUCCGUGUUAUAUGUGUCACGGGAGACUGCCCGGGUUGACCGGGAGGAAGGAGGGGAUGAUGUCAAGUCAGCGUGGCCCUCUGAUGCCCUGGGCUACACGCAUGAUACAAUGGGAAGUAACAAUGGGUCGCCAAACCGUAAGGUGGAGCUAAUCCCAUCAAACCUUCCCCCAGUUCAGAUUGGAGGCUGAAACUUGCCUCCAUGAAGUUGGAAUCGCUAGUAAUCGCAGAUCAGCACGCUGCGGUGAAUACGUUCUCGAGUCUUGCACUCACCGCCCGUCAACUCAAGGGAGCCGGGAAUACCCGAAGGUCCGUAUUUAUUUGUGGAACUACGGUAGGCUCGGUGACAGGGAGU
rnacentral:rRNA from 1 species